rnacentral:rRNA from 1 species
GACUAACGCUAACGGUGUGCUUAAUACAUGCAAGUCGAACGAGCAAUGUGAGAGUGGCAACACUCCUGCAAAGCUAGUGGCGAACGGGUGAGUAACGCAUAGGUAAUCUACCUUGAAGAUUAGGAUAACCUUCCGAAAGGAAGGCUAAUACUAAAAUUUUAUGUUUUUCGUAUGAUUAAUAUAACAAAGGUAGCCGCAAGGCCUCCGCUUUAAGAUGAACCUGCGUCCUAUUAGCUUGUUGGUAAGGUAAUGGCUUACCAAGGCUAUGAUGGGUAGCCGGCCUGAGAGGGUGAUCGGCCACACUGGGACUGAGAUACGGCCCAGACUCCUACGGGAGGCAGCAGUAGGGAAUAUUGCGCAAUGGGCGAAAGCCUGACGCAGCGACACCGUGUGAAGGAUGAAGGUCUUCGGAUCGUAAACUUCUGUCAAUCGGGGACGAAGGUAAUAAGGUUAAUAGCCUUUAUUAUUGACGGUACCCAAUAAGGAAGUCUCGGCUAACUCCGUGCCAGCAGCCGCGGUAAGACGGAGGAGGCAAGCGUUGUCCGGAAUCAUUGGGCGUAAAGAGCGCGUAGGCGGUUUUUCAAGUCGUAUGUGAAAACUUCAGGCUUAACCUGAUGAUUGCAUAUGAAACUGGAUAACUUGAGUACAGCAGAGGAAAGUGGAAUUCCUGGUGUAGCGGUGAAAUGUGCAGAUAUCAGGAAGAACACCGGUAGCGAAGGCGGCUUUCUGGGCUGUUACUGACGCUGAGGCGCGAAAGCUAGGGGAGCAAACAGGAUUAGAUACCCUGGUAGUCCUAGCCGUAAACGAUGGACACUAGGUGUGGGAAGUUAUCGACGCUUUCUGUGCCGAAGCUAACGCAUUAAGUGUCCCGCCCGGGGAGACGCCGCAAGGCU